rnacentral:rRNA from 1 species
AUACGGAGGAUCCGAGCGUUAUCCGGAUUUAUUGGGUUUAAAGGGUGCGCAGGCGGCCAUUUAAGUCAGCGGUUAAAUCGUUGGGCUCAACCCCAUUCUGCCGUUGAUACUGGGUGGCUUGAUUGCGGUCGAGGUUGGCGGAAUUCGUUGUGUAGCGGUGAAAUGCAUAGAUAUGACGAAGAACACCGAUUGCGUAGGCAGCUGACCAGACCGCAAAUGACGCUCAUGCACGAAAGUGCGGGGAUCGAACAGGAUUAGAUACCCUGGUAGUCCGCACAGUAAACGAUGAAUACUUGUUUUCGGCGAUAUAAUGUCGGAGGCAAAGCGAAAGCGAUAAGUAUUCCACCUGGGGAGUACGCCGGCAACGGUGAAACUCAAAGGAAUUGGCGGGG